UCUUCCUUUUUUUUUUCCCCAGGGACUGCCAGGCCAGCAGCGGCCUGUGUCCUGGGCCUGUGGGCAUCUAACACGGUGUGUUGGGGGCACUUCCUUGGUGCGAACCAGGGCACCCUCACAGGGCAGGUUCCGCAGCACGGCUGAGGAGCAGCCUGCUCAUCAUCACAGCUAGGAUUUUGCAAUAACAGAACUUAAAAAAAAAGAAAAAAAAAAAAAAAGAAAGGCUUCCAUUAACAUCUCUGGCAGCCACUGCGGUGGAGGUGUUCCCCCACACCCGCCUCCUUGAGAAGCUGCUCCCCUCCAGGUUGGGGUGAGAAGGGAGCUCUGAAACCCAGGACCUGCUCAGGGACCAGGGGGUGCUGGGGCCCGCCCUCCCCUCUCCUUGCCUCAGGGCUGGCCCCACACCCUGAGAGCAGACAGGGAAGGGCCACAGCCCAAAGCCUGGCCUUGUUAGCCCCCCUCCUCAGCCUCGGGAGGCCCAGCCACACUCCCAGUAUCGCACCCUUGGGGUGACACAUGCACCCCCAGUGGUGAGGGGAAGUGAGGUGGGGUGGGGGGAUGAGUGUCUGCCCCCAGCAUGGGGUGAAAUCCCUCUCAGCUGCCUGCAGUGGAAGGGAGUGUCCCUCACAGGGCAACAGGCGGGUGCUGUGAGCAGCCGCCGGGAUGCAAAACCAGUCAGGAGCUCCCUCCUGUUACUCAGCUACCUGCUCACCCUGGCGGGAGGAGGUUUUGCAAUAUCUGGGGAAAGGGACGUGCCCCGGGAGCACGAGAGUGGGAGAGAAAUGGCAGGGUUACAUCAAGGAGGUGGGCGAGGAGGGGAGCAGGACAGUCAGACAUGUGCACCCAGGCUAAUCUGGAGGCAAGGAGAUGGUGGAAGGGGUGUUGGAAGAGGACAUGAAGCGCUUGCUGCAGCAUGGCUGGCCGGCUGGGGAGUGGAGGGAAGCGGGACAGCCUUACGCUGCAUCCAGUGUGGGGUGCGCGCUUUGAUGUGGGUGCAUGAAAGGGCUGGACAAAAGAAAAGAAGCACUACGGCUUCAUGUACAGGGUGGCAAGAGGGAAGAUCUCCUUUCCAGGAGCCUUGCAGUUCCCCCUUCAGACCUCUGCGGGCUGCCAGGGAAACCUGCACUUGUGGCGCUUGCCGGGAGUCAGCACACGGCUUGGUGGCUGCGGGUGUGCGAGGCUCACUAAAUGGAGGCUCCUGCUGCCCUGCUGGUUGCUGCUGUGCUCCGGGAGGGAGGAGGAGAUGGAGGAGGAGGAGGAGGGAGGGAUGUGAAAGUGGGUCAGGAAUGUAAGUAGACUCUGCCCCCCUUGUUGCAGGCACAGGCGGCGCUGCCUUAGCGAUGGAAAGCAGGCAUUUCAGUGUUGAUGUUCCCCAGUCAUACCCGCUGACGGUUACUAGGGGAUCCUGAAGGAUGUGUUUCCCUGUGACCCUUUGAGAAGAAAAACUUAGUUGCCGCAGUAACCAAGUUUGGCUUGGAUGCAAUGAUGCAGUAAAUAUCAUAGGUGAGCCUUGCUAAUGGAGGAGGAGGAAGCUGAAACUGUACAGGCUGGAUCACUCUCACAGUCAGUUUUCUUCCAUAGUCGUGUUUAUCUCUAAAGCACUGGUAUUCUGAAGAAAAAAAAAAAUGGGUUGCUGUACAUGGCACUGAUUCUGCUCUGAGCCUGAGGAUCGACAGAGAACGAAGCUGUCGGGCUCCCAGAUGCAUCAGGAGUGAGGGGACGCACCGAGUGUGCCACUGCAGGCCACGCAGCAGAUAGGUCUGCAUCCAGUCGAUGGAUGAGGGUAUGCCUGUACAUUUCAUUAAGGGAACAAAAGUCACUGGAGCAAAGUGUGCAGCUACUCCUUUGUUACCCCUUUGAAUUAUUUGUCAUGGAAGUAUUGCUAUAAAUAAACACCCCUUUAGCUUCUUU